UUUUUUUUUUUUUUUUUUCUGAGCAUAUUUGAGAGUUUGCAAAACUUUGCUUACAAUAGGGACCUAAACAAUUAUAGGUUUGAAUUCAGUUCGUAGGACUCUGAAGCAAUUAUGUAUUUAGAUCUUAGAAGCUCUGGUGUUCGCUUCAGCAAUGUAGCAAAUCUAUAAAUUUAUCCUUCUUUUUUUUUUAAGCUUGCAUUUACCUGCAUGGUACACUCCCCUUUUUUUCCCUUGGAAAGUGUCUGUUUUCAUUGUAUUCUGAGAUGUGUUUAAUCUUCCUUUAUUUUUUUUCCAUUUAAUCCACGGAUUAACUUUAUUAUCUCUUCUCUCUUUUUUCUUCCCUAAGAGCUACAACAUUUUCACGAUGUUUUAAAUCUUACAGCACUGAGUUGAAUACAAAUGGAAUUCCAAACAAGCAAACACAUAAUCUAUCUCCCCUUUUUGGGAUUGCUAAAUAUCAAAGAAAGUUUAUUCUUUGCUGUCAGGGUUUUUACAUAGACAUUAUUUUCACUUAGGCAUUUAAAGUACUUUAUUAAGUUUUAGUGUUUUCUGAGGCUCUUCUAUUUUUAUAUAAACUGAUAUGUUGAGUAAGUAGAAUGCCUCUCUUUUCCUAUAGUUCUGCAAUUGGACUUAUCCAAAGAAGUAUGUCCCAUUCUGAGGAAAAACACUCUAAGUGUGCUUGAUUUGGAGUUGCAGGGCCAGCAGGAAAUUAUUCAAUACUAGACUUUCCUAGUGAAAGGACCAAUCCCCUCAUUUUAGAGAAUAGGAGCUGAGACUCAUAGAAGAAAAGUGACUCAUCAAAGUUGAUGGGGGAGCUCAGUGCUCCACCAGUACAACCUGCUGCCUCUCAUCUAGAAAACUUUCCACAUUCAAUGGGCCCCUACUGCAUGCCAAGACUGUAUAGGGGACAUUUUUUAAUUGAAUUUUUUGAGGUUUAUUGAUACAUAAUUGUUAUAUAACAUCAUGUAUAUUUAAGGUAUACAGUGUAUUUGAUACAUGUGUGUUUUGCAAAAUGGCACCAUGAGUAAGUUAGUUAACACAUCCAUCACCUCAUACCAUUGCAAUAUUUUUUGUGUGUAUAGUAAGAACAUUUAAGACCUACUGUCAGCAACUUUCAAGUAUGUAAUACAGUUUUGUUAGCUAUAGUCAACAUGCUGAAUAGAAGAUCCUCAGAAUUUGUUCAUCUUUAUAACUGGAAGUUUGUACCAUUUGACCAGCAUCUAUCCAUUUUCUCCACUCCUACCCAUCCCCCACCUUGACAAUUAGCAUUCUACUCUCUGUUUCUAUGAGUUUAGAUUUUUUUUUAGAUUCCACAUAUAAAUGAAAUCAUACAAACCAUACCGUAUUUGUCUUUAUCUGACGUGUUUCACUCAGCAUGAUGCCCUCAAUGUCCACCCAUGUUAUUGCAUCAUUUUAUGGCUGAAUAAUAUUAUUUACCAUAUAUAAAAAUAAUGUAUUAUAUAUAUAUAUAUACACACACACACACACCUAUUUAAAUUUUAUUCAUUCAUCUGUUGAUGGACACUUAGUUUGUUUCCAUGUAUUAAUUAUUGUGAAUGAACAGUAUUGCAAUGAACAUAGGGGUGCAAAUAUCUUUUUGAGAUCCUGAUUUUAUUUCCUUCAGAUAUGUACCCAGAAAUGGGAUUGCUGGAUCAUAUGGUUCUUCUAUGUCUAAUUUUUAAAGGAAUCUCCAUACUCUUUUCCAUAAUAGCUGUACCACCAACUGUGCACUAGGGUUCCCUUUUUUUCCACAUCCUUGCCAAUCCUCAUUAGUUCUUUUUGUUUUGAUAAUUGUUGGAGGAGGUCAUCAGGAGGUGGAGACUGCUGGCUGACCCAUGAGCUGGACCAGGCAAUCCAAAUCUCUUCACCCCUUCCCUGGGCUUUAGAAUGUACAUUCUGUGGGUGGGUGUGGAGGUAUACACCUAAGACACACUUCAUAUGUAUGUUCCCUUGCUUAUUAAACCUGCCACCUACCAAGCUAGAGUGGUCUGCCUCUUACUUCUGUUUCUCCUUGCCCUGCGUGUGUGGGGGCCAAUUUUGUGAGCCAACAAUAAUGACUGAGAUGAGCUCGAGCCAGUUCGUGGGCCAUUUCAAGGUUGGGAUUGAGGUAUUUGGGGCUUCUCCUGGGUCCCUUGGUGUAUCAGGCAGGUGACCAUCACAAAGCCAAAUGGGGCUGUGGCCAUGUUGUCAGGGUACAGAGCUAUUUUCAUUUCUGCAGCCAAGACCACAGUUGGCAAGUCAGACAGAGGGUUGCAAGCCUGUCUUGCUCUCCUCAGUCUUAGACUACCCUGGGCUUUCACAGUCUUCCACCUGGAUCCCAAAUCUCCCACAAAGGCAUGUUUGUCUGUAGAGGGGUGCUAAAUUAUUGUUGAAGGAGGAUAUGUAUGAGGAACAUAUUAUUCAAUCAUUUUUCUCAGGAUGCUGUUUUUAUGUGGUAUAUAUUUCUCCUUCAUCUUUAUGACUUUCCAAACUUUAUAGUAUAUAUACUGUGAGAAGCACACUGAUAGUUAUCAUUUAAAUAAAUUUUGUUUAAGAAAUUGGACUUAAGCAAAUCAAACAAAUGACAGAAACAAUUUACUUAAAAGAAGGACACUUAGGAGUUCCCAUCGUGACUCAGUGGUUAAUGAAUCCAACUAGGAACCAUGAGGUUGCGGGUUCGAUCCCAGCCCUUGCUCAGUGGGUUAAGGAUCCAGUGUUGCUGUGAGCUGUGGUGUAGGUUAUAGAUGUGGCUUGGAUCCCGUGUUGCUGUGGCUCUGGUGUAGGCCGGUGGCUACAGCUUCUAUUAGACCCCUAGCCUGGGAAUCUCCAUGUGCUGCAGUAGCGGCCCUAGAAAAGGCAAAAAGAAAAAAAAAAAAAAAAAA
rnacentral:lncRNA from 1 species